AUUGAACGCUGGCGGCAGGCUUAACACAUGCAAGUCGAACGAGUGGCGGACGGGUGAGUAAUGCUUGGGAAUCUAGCUUAUGGAGGGGGAUAACUUCGGGAAACUGUCGCUAAUACCGCGUACCAUACGAUGAGCCCAAGUGGGAUUCGGUAGUGGUUGAGGUAAAGGCUCACCAAGCCGACGUACUCUAGCUGGUCUGAGAGGAUGACCAGCCACACUGGGACUGAGACACGGCCCAGACGCCUACGUGAGGCAGCAGUGGCGAAUAUUGCGCAAUGGUGGCGACCUUACGCAGCCAUGCCGCGUGAAUGAAGAAGGCCUUCGGGUUGUAAAGUUCUUUCUGUAGCUAGGCGUUAACUACAGAAGAAGCACCGGCUAACUCCGUGCCAGCAGCCGCGGUAAUAC
rnacentral:rRNA from 1 species